rnacentral:rRNA from 1 species
AGCAGCCGCCGCGGUAAUACAGAGGGUGCAAGCGUUAAUCGGAAUUACUGGGCGUAAAGCGCGCGUAGGUGGUUUGUUAAGUUGGAUGUGAAAUCCCCGGGCUCAACCUGGGAACUGCAUCCAAAACUGGCAAGCUAGAGUAUGGUAGAGGGUGGUGGAAUUUCCUGUGUAGCGGUGAAAUGCGUAGAUAUAGGAAGGAACACCAGUGGCGAAGGCGACCACCUGGACUGAUACUGACACUGAGGUGCGAAAGCGUGGGGAGCAAACAGGAUUAGAUACCCCGGUAGUCCUGUCUCUUAUACA